rnacentral:rRNA from 1 species
UAAGAAUUAUAAUUUAAGAUAUAUUCUGCUCAAUGAUUUUAUAUUAAAUAGCUGCAGUAUAUUGACUGUACAAAGGUAGCAUAAUAGAUUGCCUAUUAAUUGUAGGCUGGAAUGAAUGGAUGAACGAAAUUAAUUCUGUUUCUAAUAUAUUUAUAUAAUUUAAUAUUUUAGUGAAGAAGCUAUAAUUUUAUUAAAAGACAGUGAGACCCUUAGAGCUAUUAUUUAUAUUUAAUAUAAUUAUAUAAAUUAGAUUUUGACUGGGGUGGUUUUGGAAUAUUUUUAACUUCCAAUUAUUAUAUGAUUUUUAUAUCUAUAAAUUUGAUCUUUUAUAAGUUUAAGAUUAGUUACCUAAGGGAUAACAGAUUAAUUUUUUUGUAGAGUUCUUAUUGAUAAAAAAGAUUAAUACCUCGAUGUUGGCUUAAAAUUUCCUUUAGAUGAAGAAGUUUAUAGGGUUGGUUUGUUCAACCAUUAAAAUUUUACGUGAUCUGAG